rnacentral:rRNA from 1 species
UGGGGAAUAUUGGGCAAUGGAGGCAACUCUGACCCAGCAACGCCGCGUGAAUGAUGAAGGUCUUCGGAUUGUAAAGUUCUGUGAUGGGGGAUGAACACAAUGACGGUACCCCAAUAGCAAGCCACGGCUAACUACGUGCCAGCAGCCGCGGUAAUACGUAGGUGGCAAGCGUUAUCCGGAAUGACUGGGCGUAAAGGGUGCGUAGGUGGUUUAGUAAGUUGGCGGUGUAAUUCCGGGGCUCAACCUCGGCGCUACCGCCAAAACUAUUAGACUAGAGUGCAGGAGGGGUAAGUGGAAUUCCUA